rnacentral:rRNA from 1 species
GAUGAACGCUGGCGGCGUGCCUAAUACAUGCAAGUCGAGCGAACGGACGAGAAGCUUGCGUCUCUGAUGUUAGCGGCGGACGGGUGAGUAACACGUGGAUAACCUACCUAUAAGACGGGGAUAACUUCGGGAAACCGGAGCUAAUACCGGAUAAUAUUUUGAUCCGCAUGGUUCAAAAGUGAAAGACGGUCUUGCUGUCACGUAUCGCUGGAUCCGGGCUGCAUUGGCUAGUUGGUACGGUAACGGCUUACCAAGGCAACGAUGCGUAGCCGACCUGUGAGAGGGGUAGGCGGCCUGGGAGCGUGGACGCGGACAGGAGGCCUGCGGGAGGCAGCAGACGGGAAUCUGCGGCAAUGGGCGAGAGCAUGGCGGAGCAACGGCGCGUGAGUGAUGAAGGUCUUCGGAGCGUAAAGCUCGGUUAUGAGGGGAGAACAUAUGUGUAAGUAGCUGUGCAGAUCGUGACGGUAACUAGUCAGGAAGCAACGGCUAACUACGUG